rnacentral:rRNA from 1 species
CGCUGGCGGCACGCCUAACACAUGCAAGUCGAACGCAGUAGCAAUACUGAGUGGCAAACGGGUGAGUAUAAUGUGGGAAUCUGCCUUUUGGUUUGGAAUAACACGAGGAAACUUGUGCUAAUACCGGAUAAGCCUUCACAGGGAAAGUUUUAUACGCCAAAAGAUGAGCCCGCACUUGAUUAGCUAGUUGGUGAGGUAAUAGCUCACCAAGGCAACGAUCAAUAGCUGUUCUUAGAGGAAGACCAGCCACAUUGGGACUGAGACACGGC